UUGAGUGCGGAUUUCACCAAGGAUUCAAUCCUACAAGCUCACAUAGGCUUCUCGAACAGUGAAUGGCAUAGCCCAGUUCAAUCCAACAAUAGUAAGAACAUGCACCAAAGGUCAGUUGCUACUGCAUAAUAAAGGAUCUGGUGGUUGACACUUUCUGAAUUGGAUUGGCACAUAAAAAAAGUAUUGGCUAACUAGAAGUGAAGUUCACUGUUAUCCUUUGCCAACACAAAGUUAAAUGAAUUCUGAUGAAUUUCCUUGACAAAAGGCUGAUUUAUUUCUCCAUGUAUUACUUGCUGCAUCUUUUACCAAUGUCAUGCACAUGCAGUGAUAAAUCAAUUUUUCGUCGAUGUCUCUGAAUUAUUUGCUAGGAAAACUUGUUCGAUAUUUUUAGUUCUUGAUCUCUAUCACAAGAUUAUUGAUUUGUUGGGAGAGGGUGAUAAUUUUAUUUUAAAAUGCUUGAGUCGCUGGACGGUUUGCUCGGAAGGCAUGUCAAUUAAAGUUAACUUAAUGAAUCAGAAACUCAUUUUAGGUGGACAUAAAGCAGUACUUAUAUUUAAUAUGGAUAUCAAUUUUAUUCAAUAGGUUGAACUUCAGAAUCGCCAAAAUUUUGGGGAAAUGACUAAUGAUGCGUUUAGGACAGUGUUUGGAAAGGAGUAGCCUGGUCGACUUAGGUGCUAUGGUAGAUCAGUCAUAAAAAUUUCUUUAAAGAAAGAUGAGGAAACUAACAAGCUAAAAUAAAAGCAUGCCAAUGAAAUCACUUCUGUAAAAGAAGAAAUGAAUGAAAUGAGAGAAGAAAUGUGACAUUUAUUUAGUCAAUUGCUGUAAAACAAUCCUGGAUUGAAUGUUCAAGUUAUACCAGGGUGUGUCGGAUCUAACCUUGCUUAACCUGAUGAUGCGAGUAGUGCACAAGCUAUAAGAGGCUAAAAUCUUCCAUAUUCUUCUGGGUCAACUCAUGAUUCAGUUCUUCAAAAGGGAAAUGCGGGUGAUUGAAUUUGAAUGGCAAUACUGAUCAAAGAGUUUUUGAAGUAUAUACUUAAGUUUGAAUACAUUUGAUUUUGUGGAUUUCAUUGAAAUUACACAUAUUUAAAAUAUUGUUUAAUGUAUGUGUAAUACAAGGCAUUAUUUUUUGACGUUAUUGCAAAUCAGUCCAUUGGAAUUAUGUAGUGUAUUAGUUAAAUAAAAGCUGAGAUUAUAUAUAAAUUAUGUAUA